rnacentral:lncRNA from 1 species
UUGCAUUUUUAUUUAUUUAUUUAUUUUACUUGUUACUCAAACAGAGCUAUAUGGAUUUUUAUUAUGUUUGGCUGAUUACUUUUGCAUGUAACUUUAAUUUAUUGGCAUGUUUAAUGUUUUUCAAGCCCCCCCUGUAAAUAAGAAUCUAUAGUGGCUUGCUUGGAUGAAUAGAAAUUGUUGAGUUUGACUAUGUUUCUUUCUUCUCUAAGACUCCAGAGAGGAGACAGAGCCCAGAGGACACCGAGCCCUUUAAAGAGAGUCCCAUGGUGACUGAGCGCUUUCGAGAGACACCACAGGUGUGUGUAACCCUUUUAUACCUCAGAUUUUACUUAAGGCUCCAACUGAGCUAUAGGGAUUUUUAUGUUGGGAUAGUUAGUGGUAAUAUGUAAUUUACUUGCCCCAUAUUUAUAAAAUUGUUGAAGAGUUUAACAAUGUUUUUCUUCUCUAACAAGACUGCAGCAACAGCUGAGACCUCAGCGAAAACACAGAUGGAAGUUAUAAAGGGCUCUGGGGUGUUUUGCCAGGCAGAAGCGUGGAAAGCAGCCCGCCUUGCCCCCUCUGCUACUGCCAUGGUGCGGAAUCUCCUGCUGGGCACCUUUGAUUUGGAGACUUUGCUGAAAAGCAACCUGAAUGGUGGGAAGCCAACCAGAGGGGAUGGGGAGCAGCUGGUCGCACUUGACCAAAUUAAAAAGGCAGCCAUUAUUGAUGCUACAUUGAAGAAGUGGCCGGCAGCCAGCCGAGGGCAGAUAGGCACAUCUAUCAAUUCAAAGCUCACGGAGCUGAGAAG